rnacentral:rRNA from 1 species
CGUGGCGGACAGGUGAGUAACGCGUGAGUAACCUGCCUUUCAGAGGGGAAUAACGUUCUGAAAAGAACGCUAAUACCGCAUAACGUACAGUUACCGCAUGGUAGCAGUACCAAAGGAGCAAUCCGCUGAAAGAUGGACUCGCGUCCGAUUAGCUAGUUGGUGGGGUAAAGGCCUACCAAGGCGACGAUCGGUAGCCGGACUGAGAGGUUGAACGGCCACAUUGGGACUGAGACACGGCCCAG